rnacentral:rRNA from 1 species
GCCAGACUCCUACGGGAGGCAGCAGUGGGGGAUAUUGCACAAUGGGGGGAACCCUGAUGCAGCGACGCCGCGUGGGUGAAGAAGCGCCUCGGCGCGUAAAGCCCUGUCAGCAGGGAAGAAAAUGACGGUACCUGAAGAAGAAGCCCCGGCUAACUACGUGCCAGCAGCCGCGGUAAUACGUAGGGGGCAAGCGUUAUCCGGAUUCACUGGGUGUAAAGGGAGCGUACACGGCGACGCAAGUCUGGAGUGAAAGCCCGGGGCCCAACCCCGGGACUGCUCUGGAAACUGCGUCGCUGGAGUACGGGAGGGGCAGGCGGAAUUCCUGGUGUAGCGGUGAAAUGCGUAGAUAUCAGGAGGAACACCGGCGGCGAAGGCGGCCUGCUGGACCGUAACUGACGUUGAGGCUCGAAAGCGUGGGGAGCAAACAGGAUUAGAUACCCUUGUA